CUGAUCUUUGUCUGAAGUUACGUACACAACACAGGUUUGCAUGUCUCAUUAGCGGGUACUAGUUUUACCCAGCUCUUUUAUUAGAUGGGUUCACGUGUAUACAUACAUGGGUGUUGCUAAAACGCGGAACGGAAAACGGAACGGAAGGAAAACGGAAAAUCUUAUCUAAUGUUAUUUACCUCAUAGAUUUGUUAAGUAUGCUAAAACGAUAUACUUUAUGUACCUUUUUAAUUUUUUUUGAAAGAUUAGCAAUAUUAGAUUAUUUAUUCAAGAAUAUUUAUUUCCUCAAAAUUAACAGUACAUGCAUUGACCACUAUAUUCUGUCCCAAAAUAUCCUCGAUUCACUUUUUGCUGUAUAUUUAUAUAUACCUCAGGGUUCAAGCGAUUCUCUUUUAGAAGCAUUAAACAUUCUCAUUAUUCUUUCUUUAAAACGUCCUCUCUAGCUUAUCAGCUGGUAUAAAUACACGGCUAAAAAUAAAGAAGUCUACGGGGUUUUGCAUUUUAACAGACCCGGAUGAUAGUGUUGAAAAAUUGUGCAAGGUCUUCUGAGUGACUUCCAAAUGGAGAAAAGAUGUCAACAUUUUCCAUUAUAAAUCGUCCAAAUGUGCUGCAUGAAUAUUUUGGGAUCGACAGACUAUAGUCCCAAUAUAUAAUCGGAAAAUCAAACCAGGCAACGUCUAGAGCUCUCUAUUCGGAUCAUAUGUAUAUAGCUGCUGGAAUAAACAACUGCAUGCUUUGUAAUGCAAACGUAAACAAAAUUGCAUUGCUAAAAAUACUAGUUUCACAAAUUACCGGGUAUUUUAAUGUUUACUGUAUUUUAAUUUUUUAAUGUCGUCAGUCCUACAGUUUUUUUCUUCCAUCUCAAUGAUACUGUAUCGUCUGUAUGAUAAAAGAUCGUCUAGAACACCGAAAAUUCAAUUUUGAUGUAAGUAUAUACAUGUACAUCAUAUUUGAAAAUAAUAUAAAAAUACUCAAAACACGCAUAAAACGCUUUCACUGACUGCGUACGUUACGCUAAUAUGCCAGCAAUACCAUAUAAGAGAAAUAAGUAAAAAGUUAUAGCUAAUUUGCUCGUUUAAUCAUGUUAAUGUUUCACAAUUCGUAUACAUUUGAUUUUUCCGAUUCGUACUCAACUAAAGCCGAAUGAAUACAAUGCUAUGAUUGAUAGACAUUCAUAUGAAUAUUAAUAAGAUAGCAACAUGUUGAUAAUCAUUCAUUAGAUAUAAAUAAAAGAUACAAAGUAAAUCGUUUCUGGCCAGUCUAUACCCUUUUUAAGCGAUAAACGUGAUGAUAUUUUCCAUUCCGUUCCGUUUUCCGUUCCGCGUUUUAGCAACACCCAUACAUACAUGUCUGUGUUUUCCGUAUGCAGAAAAGGAUUACGGUAGUUAAGAUCAGCUAAAGGAAUUCAUUAUUGUGUUUUAAUUGGAUUAUCAUUAUGAUGUUGACCAAUUUAGACGACACUCGCAGCAAUGCUACAAUUGGUCGCGCUGGAUAUUUCCAUGCUUUCACUGAGACGUAUAAAGGAACAAGAAACGGGCGAUUCCACUUCAGAAAACCACACUGUAAUGAUAAAAACAAUAUACUAUUAAAGACACCCACCUGAUGAAUUGAAAAGUGCUAAAUGUACAAGGAGCCUCAGAGUCAGAUGUCGAUCCUUGACCAAUUGCAAUUGCAAAAGUGUUCCCCCGUUUUGAUUGCAAACUUCAAUAGCGUCCAAUGGUUGUUUAGGAUCUUUGGUCAACAAAUAGCAAGAACCUACAUCCUCCGCGCCAAUCCACCCAGACGGACAAGUAUUUAGAUCUUAAAAAACUCUCUCGGAUUGAUAGUGGUCAGCACCAGAAAUUAUCAGAAAUGCAUGAAGUAAUAUUAUUUGAUGUUUUUUUUUUAUCUUCUGGAAAUCCAGAUGACAUUGUUUGUGUCACUCGAUCUGUAAAU